rnacentral:rRNA from 1 species
UACGUAGGGGGCUAGCGUUGUCCGGAAUCAUUGGGCGUAAAGCGCGUGUAGGCGGCUCGGUAAGUCUGCUGUGAAAGUCCAGGGCUCAACCCUGGGAUGCCGGUGGAUACUGUCGAGCUCGAGUCCGAAAGAGGCGAGUGGAAUUCCCGGUGUAGUGGUGAAAUGCGUAGAUAUCGGGAGGAACACCAGUGGCGAAGGCGACUACCUGGCCUGUUCUUGACGCUGAGGCGCGAAAGCUAGGGGAGCAAACGGGG